GCCUUUGCAUCCUGUUCUCACUAUUUGGAAUACCGUUCUCAUCUUUUCUGCCAGCUAUCAGCUCAAGUAUUACCUCAUAUGUGAAGCCUUCUUUGCUCUUUCCAGGAUGCCUCCACAGCACAGCUGAUGAGCAGGUCCGCACCCGGGAUCCAAACCCAUGAACAUGGGAUGCAGAAUCCGAGUAUGUGGAACUUUAACCCCUUGGCCAUGGGGCCAGCCCUCCCAGUUUUAGUUUUUAAGCACAUUCGUCCCAGUGCCGAAGUGAACAGAAAGAACAAUGGUUUCUACAUUAUUUCACGAGGAGGAAUUGGACGUCCUCUCAAGUACGUCUUCUUAAAGGCACAUUGCAGAGCUGAGAGCCUGAAACCACUCAACUCCCAGGAAAGGAACAUCCUUAUCUCCAAAGAGAAAGGGACCGAGAGAAGAAUCCUAACAAACAGGCCAUGCUAAGUUCCCCCAUUUUACCGCAAUGACCUCAUACUCCUUAACCUAUCCUGUUCCUCCAUGGCUGUCCAUCCAUCGUCAGACCUAGCGCUAAAGUCCACAGCAGUCAUGCUGAAUGUGAAGUGGUACUUCAUUGUGCUUCUUUGACGUAUAUUUUUAAAAGAGCCAAUAAAUCUGGAUCAAGAACCUUGUUUGAUGUGUGUCAUGAGGUUUUUCUCUGCCACCCUCUGAUUACCCUGUGAGGAUGUCUCCCCAAGCACUCCCAGAACAACUGGAAGAGCAAAGGCUGAUAUUGUGGAGACUCAAGCUGAUGCAAGAACGGAAGGUGCUGUCGCCGGAGCGGGGCUGCUGGAAGGAAGACAGGCAGCUGCGUCCAGCGCGCCCGACCACGGCGUCAGCCCGCUGCCCGUGGUUCUCCCGCGAGGCGGCGUGUGGAAGUGCGAACGCUUCUAAAUAGGGAAGACUCUUUUCCUGUUGUGGAGUACUGAGCAUAUGAGCAUGCGUGUGUGUGCGCAUACAUGUCAACCUAAUCAUCCUUGUGCCUGAGGAAUUGUUCCUGCCUGAAGGAAUGAGUGCCUUGGGAGAAGAUCUGAAAAAAUGGCUCUGUUUUUUAUUAAUCAACUUCAAACUGAUCAGGGAAGGCAGAUAUGAUGAAUUUCUAGAGGUACAGUACUUUAAAAUCUGAAUUUAUGCUGGGGAAUGAGUAAACAAAGUUUACACAGAGUAAACGAAGGCAGAAUAAUGGCCAUCCCCCCACCUGGAUGUCCAUGUCUUAAUCCCCAGGUCUGUGAAUAUAUUAGUUUCCAGGCAGAGGGGGAGUAAAGCCGCAGAUGGAGUUCCUAAUCAGCUGACCUUCAGAUGGGGAG
rnacentral:lncRNA from 1 species